GGACAUGUGAGUGCCUCAUCUCAGGUGGUCCGAGGAGAGCAUGGUAUGACCAACCAGGAGGCAUCUUGUGAUUUGGUCCUCCUCUCUCAGCUGGUGAGAGAGCAACUGAGUAUCUUCUGCUUCUCCACAUGAGCUAUCUCGAAGAUGAGACGAGUCACCACAGCCCAGGGAAUGCUAACAUUUGGAUUACACCUCCCUGCAACACAGAACCCUGCCUCCACCUCUCAGAGACUUGGCACCUCUGCGUGAUGAAAUCCAAAUACUGGCUGUGGUUACGGAACCGAGCAAAAUACAGAGCAGAUGAAGAGAUACAGAGCUGUAGCUCGCGGGGCCUCAUUGUUCGGGAACACCACGUAACAAAAAGAAAAGCCGUGCACUGAGGAGCUGCUGUGUCUGCAAGGGAUCUCUUCAAAACAGAAACCAAACAAAAUUGAACAAACCCAACAAUGUACUCUGCAGCCAACAAUGGCCGCUGCCAAAGUCUUGUACCUGGCAGCAUUCAACAGGUUAUAAUGCUUGUA